AUUGAACGCUGGCGGCAGGCCUAACACAUGCAAGUCGAGCGGAUGAAGGGAGCUUGCUCCUGGAUUCAGCGGCGGACGGGUGAGUAAUGCCUAGGAAUCUGCCUGGUAGUGGGGGAUAACGUCCGGAAACGGGCGCUAAUACCGCAUACGUCCUGAGGGAGAAAGUGGGGGAUCUUCGUACCUCACGCUAUCAGAUGAGCCUAGGUCGGAUUAGCUAGUUGGUGGGGUAAAGGCCUACCAAGGCGACGAUCCGUAACUGGUCUGAGAGGGUGAUCAGUCACACUGGAACUGAGACACGGUCCAGACUCCUACGGGAGGCAGCAGUGGGGAAUAUUGGACAAUGGGCGAAAGCCUGAUCCAGCCAUGCCGCGUGUGUGAAGAAGGUCUUCGGAUUGUAAAGCACUUUAAGUUGGGAGGAAGGGCAGUAAGUUAAUACCUUGCUGUUUUGACGUUACCAACAGAAUAAGCACCGGCUAACUUCGU
rnacentral:rRNA from 1 species